CUAGCAACCCCCAAAUUCUUAUUCCACUUCACCAUUAUUACAGAAUCCAGAAUUGUAUCACUGGAUUCAGGCCAAGCCUUUAAGAACAGGGACCUGAGAAAAGUCCCUUUCCAUCUAUGGUUCUGUGGUAUGGACGGAAGGUUUGGGUCCUUCUAAAAUGUAGAUGUUGAGACCCUAAACCCUGGGGUGCUACUUUAAGAUGGGGCCUCUGGUAAAUAACUAGGUCACUAGUGUACAGUCUUUCUGAUUGGUCAGAGCCCUUAAAGGGAGAGACAAGGGAUUGCUUGUUCUUCCUCCUCUCUGCCAUGUGAGCCCAACCCCUAAAGAGCCUUCCCUAGAACCCUGCCAUGUUGCUACUCUGUGGAUUUCCCUGCCUCUUGAGCCCCAAGCAGUCAAGUUCAACAUGUCCCAAGCUGCGAUGGUUGUGUCAUCGAGUUUCUUUAUCCACUGUGCAUCCAUCUUCUGUGCCUGCCUGCCCUCCCUGUGGUCCUCAGCUACAUCACCAGACAAGACAGCAACCUUAUAGAGGCUGUUUAAGAUGCUCUAACAGUUGUUCCAGGUCAAAUCUCCAUAAUAAAUCUUUAUAUUGUCUUCCAUGAA